rnacentral:siRNA from 1 species
UAAGAUUUUUGUGCCGGUCUAGCG